rnacentral:rRNA from 1 species
GACGUAGGGCGCGAGCGUUGUCCGGAUUUAUUGGGCGUAAAGAGCUCGUAGGCGGCUCGUUGCGUCGGCUGUGAAAACCCGCAGCUCAACUGUGGGCUUGCAGCUGAUACGGGCGGGCUGGGAUUCGGUAGGGGAGACUGGAAUUCCUGGUGUAGCGGUGAAAUGCGCAGAUAUCAGGAGGAACACCGGUGGCGAAGGCGGGUCUCUGGGCCGAUAUCGACGCCGAGGAGCGAAAGCGUGGGGAGCGAACAGG